UACAGAGGUCUCAAGCGUUGUUCGGAUUCAUUGGGCGUAAAGGGCGCGUAGGCGGCCACCGCAAGUCGAUUGUGAAAUCUCCGGGCUUAACUCGGAAAGGUCAACCGAUACUGCGGGGCUAGAGUGCAGAAGGGGCAACUGGAAUUCUCGGUGUAGCGGUGAAAUGCGUAGAUAUCGAGAGGAACACCUGCGGCGAAGGCGGGUUGCUGGGCUGAUACUGACGCUGAGGCGCGAAAGCCAGGGGAGCAAACGGG
rnacentral:rRNA from 1 species